rnacentral:rRNA from 1 species
CAAUAGCGUAUAUUAAAGUUGUUGCAGUUAAAAAGCUCGUAGUUGGAUUUGUGGCGUACGACGGGCUCCGGGCACUUGUUGUCUGAGUAGCUUGUCGUUGCCAUCCUUGGGUGGAACCUGUGUGGCAUUAGGUUGUCGUGCAGGGGAUGCCCAUCUUUUACUGUGAAAAAAUUAGAGUGUUCAAAGCAGGCUUAUGCCGUUGAAUAUAUUAGCAUGGAAUAAUAAGAUAGGACUUUGUCGCUAUUUUGUUGGUUUGCGCGAUAAGGUAAUGAUUAAUAGGGACAGUUGGGGGUAUUCGUAUUCCAUUGUCAGAGGUGAAAUUCUUGGAUUUUUGGAAGACGAACUACUGCGAAAGCAUUUACCAAGGAUGUUUNCAUUA